rnacentral:rRNA from 1 species
CCUACGGGGGGCAGCAGUGGGGAAUAUUGGGCAAUGGAGGAAACUCUGACCCAGCAACGCCGCGUGAAUGAUGAAGGUCUUCGGAUUGUAAAGUUCUUUUCUAAGGGAAGAAGAAAGUGACGGUACCUUAGGAAUAAGCCUCGGCUAACUACGUGCCAGCAGCCGCGGUAAUACGUAGGAGGCGAGCGUUAUCCGGAAUGACUGGGCGUAAAGGGUGCGUAGGUGGUUUGGCAAGUUAGUAGCGUAACUCCAAGGCUCAACCUUGGAACUACUACUAAAACUGUUGGACUUGAGUUCACAACAGGCAGGCGGAAUUCGUGGUGUAGCGGUGAAAUGCAUAGAUAUCACGAGGAACCCCGAUUGCGAAGGCAGCCUGCCGGGGUGCGACUGACGCUGAGGCUCGAAGGUGCGGGUAUCAAACAGGAUUAGAUACCCUGGUAGUC